rnacentral:rRNA from 1 species
CACGGAGUUAGCCGAUCCUUAUUCCUUCGGUACAUUCAGCUCACUAUACAUAAUGAGGUUUAUUCCCGAAUAAAAGCAGUUUACGACCCAGAGGGCUGUCUUCCUGCACGCGGCAUGGCUGGUUCAGAGUUGCCUCCAUUGACCAAUAUUCCUUACUGCUGCCUCCCGUAGGAGUCUGGUCCGUGUCUCAGUACCAGUGUGGGGGGUCAUCCUCUCAGAUCCCCUAGACAUCGUGGUCUUGGUGGGCCGUUACCCCGCCAACUAACUAAUGUCACGCAUGCCCAUCUUAAUCCUAUAAAUAUUUGAUCAUUGUACAAUGCUGUACUGUGAUUUUAUGCGGUGUUAAUCCGAAUUUCUUCGGGCUAUCCCCCUGAUUAAGGUAGGUUGCAUACGCGUUACGCACCCGUGCGCCACUUUCCUCCCCAGCAAGCUGGAAAGUAUCGUUCGACUUGCAUGUAUUAGGCCUGCCGCUAGCGUUCAUCCUGAGCCAGGAUA